AAAACUCUUGUAUUUUCUGCAAGGCUCCAUACAUCCUGUGGAUUCUUCAAGCCCAAAGAUGCCAUGGUAGACACUGAUGAAAGAUCAUCAGUUGCACAGCUUUUAUCAACAUUGCCAUUUUGAUGAUUCAGUUUUCCAGGAAGAACAUCCCUACUAUAUAUAGGUUUUGGCCUAUUACGGUUUUUCCAUGUCUCCUGAUUAGACAAAGCUACCUCAAUGUUAUAACCAAACACAUGAUCGUAUAUUCUCCUUCCAUAUUGCUCAAUGUUUUCAUUGUCUCUCCUUUCAAAUACAUCUUCUCCAUUUUCUGGUGAGUUGGAAGCAUCGCUAGACCGUACAUUUAAAUCAUUUUCCUGAUUCUUGUCUCCAAACAACUUUGCAAAAAGUAGGUCCUUUGCCCAAACUAUACAGUGAACAAACUUGGAUGGAGUACUAGUAAUUGUACACACGGGAUAUGUCUUUGGGGCAGGUUUAGGCUGACACUCAUAGCACUCAGUUUUCCCCUUCGCAUGCACGGUGACCUGUCCUAGGAAGCCAGUAGUCCCACUUUCAACCAAAGGAACUUCAGCGGCCAAGCAAAGACGGUUCACAUGCCGCCUUGCUUCCAAGUUGUCAAGACCAUUCAGAACAACAUUAAACUGUUUGAAAAACUCCACAUUGAAGUCAGAAUCCUUCACAUUUGCAUGGUAUGGCG
rnacentral:misc_RNA from 1 species